UGGAAGGCUUUAAGGCCCAAGUGAUGUUACUCAUAUCAAAGCCCCUUGGCAAGACGCAGACAACCCAAGAUGUCAGCUUGAAGCAAAAACCCAAUCUGUCUCAACACAGUUGGCUGGCGCGGGACCUGAAGGAAUCUCAACACGUAGCAUCUCCCCGCUUGCUUUGCAUUGAGCCGUGCAGGCUCACACAGUUGGAAACAGGAAGGUCUGAUCAGGGCAGCAUUUCACAGCUGGUUAGGUGGUCUGCAUGUAUACGGUUGAACUUUUCAGACCAGGUCACUGAUAUUUUCACUGGAGUUGCACAGCUUUUUUUCUUCACAGGUAGAAUAAAAAGUGUCUCUCAAGUCAAA